ACACAUGCAAGUCGAGCGGUAGCACAGGGGAGCUUGCUCCCCGGGUGACGAGCGGCGGACGGGUGAGUAAUGUCUGGGAAACUGCAUGAUGGAGGGGGAUAACUACUGGAAACGGUAGCUAAUACCGCAUAACGUCGCAAGACCAAAGAGGGGGACCUUCGGGCCUCUUGCCAUCAGAUGUGCCCAGAUGGGAUUAGCUAGUAGGUGGGGUAAUGGCUCACCUAGGCGACGAUCCUUAGCUGGUCUGAGAGGAUGACCAGCCACACUGGAACUGAGACACGGUCCAGACUCCUACGGGAGGCAGCAGUGGUGAAUAUUGCACAAUGGGCGCAAGCCUGAUGCAGCCAUGCCGCGUGUGUGAAGAAGGCCUUCGGGUUGUAAAGCACUUUCAGCGAGGAGGAAGGUGGUGAGCUUAAUACGUUCAUCAAUUGACGUUACUCGCAGAAGAAGCACCGGCUAACUCCGUGCCAGCAGCCGCGGUAAUACGGAGGGUGCAAGCGUUAAUCGGAAUUACUGGGCGUAAAGCGCACGCAGGCGGUUUGUUAAGUCAGAUGUGAAAUCCCCGGGCUCAACCUGGGAACUGCAUUUGAAACUGGCAAGCUAGAGUCUCGUAGAGGGGGGUAGAAUUCCAGGUGUAGCGGUGAAAUGCGUAGAGAUGUGGAGGAAUACCGGUGGCGAAGGCGGCCCCCUGGACGAAGACUGACGCUCAGGU
rnacentral:rRNA from 1 species